UACGACACUUUCAAAAUACAAGGC
rnacentral:siRNA from 1 species